CAAGGAGGUGGGGAGGAGGGGAGUGGUGCUGCUUUCUCACUGGCCGCGCUGAGCUGUCGCUCAAAGAGCGCGAGCCCGCCCCCAGCUCGCAACCCCGCGGGCGCGGGGGAAGGGGGCCUGUUGCUGAUUGGCUGGGCGCUUGGAAUGACGUAGAGGAUCUGGCUUUAUGUGCAGAUGAGAAAUGUGCAAGGCUUUUUCUCCAUUUCAAUACUGAUGUCCAGAAGAAUCCAUAGAGUACUUGUGUAGAAAGGUGGUUAUAUUGUACCUCGAGUACAUGAAUUAACUGCUGCAUUGCAAGAUUUCAGUCUCCUGGGAUCUGGACUGAAACCACGCAACUUGUUCAGAUAGAUCACCAAUUACAGUAUGUGCUCAAAUCCAAGAUGAAGUUUAUUUCUCCACUGAACAUGUGGAAACAUCUUACAUUCAAGUCCAGGACUGUGCUGGGGCCGGAGCUGCUGCUGCUGCUACUGCCUGGUGAAGGCUGUGUUGGCUUAUGCAGCAGGGGACAGUGCGGUAGACUGCACAGUGGUAGGGGAAUUUCUCUGGACCUGGCUCCAGCCCCAGCCCUGGCUUUGACCAUAGACAACUGAUAGGGGGUGCACAUGCCCCCCCAUCGGGGCCAGUGUCCCCCCUGACAGCCAACACUGAUGCUGUCAGUAGGGCUGGUGCCCCCCCUGACAGGGACGCCACUGUCAGCGGCUUCUGCGGGUGCCCCCCAGAUUCAGGAGGCACCAGUCACUCAUGGCCUUGACCCUGACACAGUCCCAUUGGGUGCAUCUAUAUGUAUGUUUUACUGCAGAGUAAACUAAAUAGCUCCACAAUAAAGCAUCAACAUCUAUGCAUGCACCAGUUUUAGGCUGCAGUAAGCUAAUUAACUCUGCCAUAAGAGUACUGUUGGGGACAGUACUAUUUUAUGACAAGAGUCAUUACGUGCAAUUAAAUGCACAUUUAGAUGGUGACCGCAGCCGUAAAUAGUGCCCAAACAGCCUAGUCAGCCAGGGACCAGACUUCUGCCUCACUCUUGUACCCCAGCCAGCCCCUCUACCUCCAGAUACCACCACCUAGAGCCCAGGGUGACCCCCCCCCAUUGACCUCUGCCAGCUUGGGCCUUCUCUGCCCCAGCUCAAAUUGUUGCUGUUCCAGGAGCGCAUGUAGACGCUGCAAUCAAGAGCAGUUUUCUCUGGCUCAAAGUGCUUUGGAGUUUAUUGCAUUGCCUUAAUUGCUUGUGUAGAUGUCUCCACUGGGUGCUCCAGACCAGAGCUGGAGUCAGAGCCCUCAUAAGGGAAGUGGCAGCAUGGGGAGCAAGUGCUGGGGGUGAAAGAGCAGCAGGGGGGCAGGCACCUGCUUCCCUGCCACUCACCUUUUCGCCACCCUGCUGCUUUCCUCCCUAUAGUGGUAUGGCAGGAUUAGUAAAAUGACCUUCCAGUACUUAGAUUCUAUACAUGGACAAUUAUAAUACAUUCAUAAUUUUCCAUGUAUAGAAACUAAUUAUUUGGGGAGAAAAUGCUAGGUAUACACCAUACUUCAUUUUAUUGAAUUCCUUGAGAUACAUAAGGUUUUUUUCAGCAGCUUAUUCCAUUCAAGAAAUUUAUGCUGGAGUAGGUUGAUAAUUUGUGUUGACUUGAUUUUCAGUAUGCAGUUAAAUAACUGGAGGGCUUACUUAAUGAAUUAAUCUAUCAAUCUGUCUAAUUUGUUGUCAUGUCUCUCACUGUGGCCUAUAGAGUGCCACACAGAAAGACACAAAACAUGUUAAAGAAUAUAGUACAUUUUGUGGGUGAUCAGCCAACUACUUUUAUUAGACCAUUAAAAUCCUGUCUUUACCUUUUCCAGGAGCAAAUAGCUCAGUGUUAAUUUAUCUUCUGUAAAACCUAGAUCUUUUUUUGUGAUGGUUGCUUUCUUUGACAAGUUUAAAAAUAACAUCUGUAUUUUUCACUAUACCAUUCAUGUAUUUAUGCACUUCCUUCAAAUAUUUGCUUCACAUCUUCACAAUGAUCCUAGUUCUCUUUCCAGUUUGUCUUCCCAUAUAAUCAUUGCCUUACACUGACUCAUUUUCAUCAAAUUCUUUUAUCACCUGUUUAAGGGGAUACAUUUGUUGCAUUUGGUAAACAAAAAUGCUGCAUUCCUUGGAUGUCUAAAAGUCCUAUGGACUUUGUAAUAGUAUUUAUGGACACAAAAAAUGAGAAAUUAGGCCAUAGGUGGGAUAUAGCUAUAUGGUAUGUCUCUCUCCCACCACUUCCAAUUAUUUUAUAUUCCUUUCUUCGUUCUAGCUGUACGCAGAUCUGAUAUUCUUAUUUCACUACAAUCUCUUGUGUGACUUUCUUUUAAAGGUUGUAUGAUUAGAUCCAGUUGGUAUAUGUGAGAGCGCCGAGAUGAAACAAUAAUAUUUUACUUUUAGCCAAAUUACAUUAUUCUACAUUCAUGACAGGAUUUGUAGAAUUUCUUAUUUGGUUUUUUGCUUGUCAUUUUGUCACUGGUAAAUUUAACCAGUUAGCUGUCACCUUCCCUCAAAUUGUGGUUUAGGAGAGGUUAUUUGGUAUCGUGGCUCAUCAUCAUUCAUAUUAAUCACAGAACUUAAGUGAUAAUAGGCAAUAUGUUAGUCCAGAUACUGAAUCAAUCCACUGGUAUGUGUAUUUAACAAUGCUAUAAUAGAAGUAGUUACACAUUCCUUCUGUGAGGGAGGCAGCCCUACCUACUAAAAUGACCAUUUAAAUGUAAAGAUGAAAUAUUUAACUGUCUGGCAAGGCAUAUGAGAAAGAAGUGGAAAUAUGCCACAAAGAGCUACACAGGCAUUUCCCAAAGUGUGGGGCACACAAAGGAUCACCUUGUGAGAUGUAGAUGUAUAAAUGAAGAUUGCAGGAGGCAAGACAAAGGGAAGGGGGUGUUCAAGUUUAAAAUAUUUGGGAAAUGCUUCUUUUAAAUAUGGCUUGCAUGAGGAAAUUGGGAAUAAAAGACACGUUCUCGAAACAUGGUGGGCAAAACUAUUAUGCAGUUUGCAGAUAUGAAUUCUGUGUGCCUUUAACUAUUCUGACCUAGUUAUAAACAUGGUUGAAAGUUGUUGUAUGCAUAGGGUCUGUAGUAUGAUUAUUGUUAUCAGCGUUCUGUGGCUUAUUAUAGUUUGACCAAUAUAUUUAGGGAUUUAUUUUUGAGAGCUGGGUCAUAAAGAAAGACUAAAGAGGAAACAUGAUCCAUCUCAGUGACUCCUUGUAGCAGUUAUUUCCAAACAUGGUCAAACCUGGCAUGUCCCAGAUCACAGGGCUUUGGAAUUCCAUGCCACACUUCUAGGAAUUACAUGAAAUUUCACAUUUUAACAAGUGAUGAUGUGAUGGGUGAUCACUUGCGAAUGAGUAAAAUUGUCUUCCAAGGAUCUUAAUAGUGAGUCCGCAAGUGGCUCCAUAGCCCAAUUCUAAGUCUUCAUGUCUGGUUACAGUGAGGACAGGUGUUUCCAGGAGGGAUGGGCAUUGUGUUGUAUUUCCGCGUCAAUAUCUGCCUUUGAUGAAAGAUGGCUUCCAAGAUAGACGAAGCGAUCCACAUUCUCCAGCAAUUCUCCAUUGAUUUGAAUGGAGGGGAGGUUUGUUUCUUCAUUUGGAGCAGGUGGGUAAAAGACUUGCAUUUCUCUGAUGUUUAGAGUUAGGCCAAUACUCUCGUAGCCUUCCAAGAAUACAUUAAGAAUGUUUUGGAGGUCCGUUUCAUGUUAAACAAUGAUAGCAUUGUCCACAUACUGGAGCUCCAUUAUGGAUGUUGUUGUGGUCUUUGUUUUGGACUUGAGUCUGUUGAGGUUGAAGACACAUAAAACAAGUAUUAGAGUCACAAGACUGAAAAGAGAUCCUUAUAACAUUGUACAUGAAAUAAGAUUAUUGUUUUUCUCUCCCAAAGUUUGCAAAUUAUCAACCUACUCCAGCAUAAAUAUCUUUAAUGGAAUAAGCUGCUGAAAAAACCCUUAUGUAUCUCAAGGAAGUGGAUGUGCGCUGUGUGCUGCAGGGUGGGCAUGGGUACUGGCCUCAGCCUCUAGCUCCCCCUAGCUAAAGAUCUGGGAGGAGCUGGGCAGGGUCAGUUUUUCCCAAGUGACACAAUUUGCCCCACACCAAAGUGUAUAUUCAGGCACAUGUGCUGAGGCAGAAAUCUCCGGCACAAAUUUGUGCUGCUGCUGUUUGAGCUGCUGCAAGUGUAGGUGCCUGUAUGUGUGGACACACCCUAAGUGCCCCUGUUUAGGUCAGGAGGAAGCAGAACAUACGUUAACCCUUUGCAGGCAGGCUUUAAGUCCUGCCCCCAUGGCCCAAGCACAGCCAGUAGGGGGGCUUUUGCACACCACCAAAUGUGUCCCAUGGAUUCCCCAGCCUGCCAAAGAUUCCUGAGCAGAGUUAAACAGCCAAUCCAGCCUGAUUGGUUGCCAGUGACAUCACGGCUGCCCACUUGGACCUGAUGUGGCAACAGCUUGUCGUGGCCACAGGUGACUGUCCUGCACAUGACUAUCCAGCAUGCCCUGCACCCACCAAGUGCAUGUGUGGGUGUCAGACACCUGAGUCGUGUGUGUGUGAUUGUGUGUGUGUGUCCAUCAGACCACUGGGUUCUGUGUACAUUUGUAUGCAUAUGUGACUCAGUGUUCGGGACACCUGGGUUCUUUGUGUGUAUCCCAGACACCGGGGUUGUGUAUGUGUUUGACCUCCUACAUGGGGCCCCAGCCAUGUCUCCCCUUUUAAGGACAACAGACCUGUGGCCCUUGCUAAUGCCUGGGGCUCAUAUCAGACAGUCAGCCUGAGCUUGGGAGCUGCCUACUCCUGCCAAAGCAGCAUCGUUUCCUUGCAGCAGGACCUGGGCCCCUGCAUGGGGCCACAGGGAGCAGAAGAGCUCCCCACCCCACUGUGCCUUCUGGGAGUGGAGCAGGGUGGACUAGCAGGGGCUUCUAGGAUCCGCUACCAAAAGCUCCACCAGUUAUUGCCUGGCCGAGGAGCCACACUGUCCCCCCACUUCUGAGCACUCCUGCACCCCUUCAGGACUGACUUGGAACUGCUUGGGAGCUUGUGCCUAUGGGGCAACUGCCAGCAACCCAGGAUUAUGUGCAUUAACACCCUGUUUGGCACUGUGACUCUUAGUUCCACUGCACUGUGGGGUGUCUCCUCCAAAUAGCAGGUGGCCAUCCAGAGCCCCCAGUCAUGCGACUUACUAGCCUAUGUGUAAGUACUCCCCAGCCUGUCCGUUUCCCCUGUACAGAGCCCAAUUUUUUUUCCCAUGCCGGUCUCAUAGCCCCUGGUGACUGGAGUCCAUGGUACAGGGCCUGAGCUCAGAGGCUGCAACUGGAACUUGUAACAUCUCUUCUUCAUUUCACCAGCAUCUUUGUAUACACAUCUUUUGUUCACUCAGCAGCUGUUUGGCCACCCUACCUGGACUCACCAGGCUGGGCAUGACAAGCUGGCCUUCUACACACACGUCGAGCCUGCAGACA